GACAGAGGGUGCAAACGUUGUUCGGAAUCAUUGGGCGUAAAGCGCACGUAGGCGGUUCGUUAUGUCGGAUGUGAAAGCCCUUGGCUUAACCGAGGAAGUGCAUCCGAAACUGGCGAGCUAGAGUACGAAAGAGGAUCGCGGAAUUCCCGGUGUAGAGGUGAAAUUCGUAGAUAUCGGGAGGAACACCGGUGGCGAAGGCGGCGAUCUGGGUCGAUACUGGCGCUGAGGUGCGAAAGCGUGGGGAGCAAACAGG
rnacentral:rRNA from 1 species